GUAGGUGGCAAGCGUUGUCCGGGAAUUAUUGGGGCGUAAAGCGCGCGCAGGCGGUUCUUUAAGUCUGAUGUGAAAGCCCACGGGCUCAACCGUGGAGGGUCAUUGGAAACUGGAGAACUUGAGUACAGAAGAGGAAAGCGGAAUUCCACGUGUAGCGGUGAAAUGCGUAGAGAUGUGGAGGAACACCAGUGGCGAAGGCGGCUUUCUGGUCUGUAACUGACGCUGAGGCGCGAAAGCGUGGGGAGCAAACAGGAUUAGAUACCCUGGUAGUCCACGCCGUAAACGAUGAGUGCUAAGUGUUAGGGGGUUUCCGCCCCUUAGUGCUGCAGCUAACGCAUCAAGCACUCCGCCUGGGGAGUACGGCCGCAAAGGCUG
rnacentral:rRNA from 1 species